rnacentral:rRNA from 1 species
AGUCAUAUGCUUGUCUCAAAGAUUAAGCCAUGCAUGUCUCAGUACAAGCCAAAUUAAGGUGAAACCGCGAAAGGCUCAUUAAAUCAGUUAUGGUUCCUUAGAUCGUACCCACAAUUACUUGGAUAACUGUGGUAAUUCUAGAGCUAAUACAUGCAAACAGAGCUCCGACCGGAGACGGAAGGAGUGCUUUUAUUAGAUCAAAACCAAUCGGUNGGCGGGUUCGCGCUCGUCAUCGUACAACUUGGUGACUCUGAAUAACUUUCAGCUGAUCGCACGGUCUCGCACCGGCGACGCAUCUUUCAAAUGUCUGCCUUAUCAACUGUCGAUGGUAGGUUCUACGCCUACCAUGGUCGUAACGGGUAACGGGGAAUCAGGGUUCGAUUCCGGAGAGGGAGCCUGAGAAACGGCUACCACAUCCAAGGAAGGCAGCAGGCGCGCAAAUUACCCACUCCCGGCACGGGGAGGUAGUGACGAAAAAUAACGAUACGGGACUCAUCCGAGGCCCCGUAAUCGGAAUGAGUACACUCUAAACCCUUUAACGAGGAUCAAUUGGAGGGCAAGUCUGGUGCCAGCAGCCGCGGUAAUUCCAGCUCCAAUAGCGUAUAUUAAAGUUGUUGCGGUUAAAAAGCUCGUAGUCGAAUUUGUGUCUCGCGCCGCCGGUUCAUCGUCCGCGGUGUUAACUGGCGUGUUUCGCGAGACGUCCUGCCGGUGGGCUUAGCCGUUGCCGUUUCGCGCGCGCUCGCGCGUUCGGGCACGUGCUCGUGUGUGUCGUUCUCGUCCUCGCGGCGAUUCGCGCGCGCGGGUGCGGGUUUCGUUUCACGCGUGUCGCGUCGGGGCGGUUUCUACGGCGGCCCAACUCAAUCCUGCCGCGGUGCUCUUCAUCGAGUGUCGAGGUGGGCCGGCACGUUUACUUUGAACAAAUUAGAGUGCUUAAAGCAGGCUAAAAUUUCGCCUGAAUACUGUGUGCAUGGAAUAAUGGAAUAGGACCUCGGUUCUAUUUUGUUGGUUUUCGGAACCCCGAGGUAAUGAUUAAUAGGAACGGAUGGGGGCAUUCGUAUUGCGACGUUAGAGGUGAAAUUCUUGGAUCGUCGCAAGACGAACGGAAGCGAAAGCAUUUGCCAAAAACGCUUUCAUUGAUCAAGAACGAAAGUUAGAGGUUCGAAGGCGAUCAGAUACCGCCCUAGUUCUAACCUUAAACGAUGCCAGCUAGCGAUCCGUCGACGUUCCUCCGAUGACUCGACGGGCAGCUUCCGGGAAACCAAAGCUUUUGGGUUCCGGGGGAAGUAUGGUUGCAAAGCUGAAACUUAAAGGAAUUGACGGAAGGGCACCACCAGGAGUGGAGCCUGCGGCUUAAUUUGACUCAACACGGGAAACCUCACCAGGCCCGGACACCGGAAGGAUUGACAGAUUGAGAGCUCUUUCUUGAUUCGGUGGGUGGUGGUGCAUGGCCGUUCUUAGUUGGUGGAGCGAUUUGUCUGGUUAAUUCCGAUAACGAACGAGACUCUAGCCUGCUAACUAGGCGCUAUUUAUUGACAUCGCAAAGGCCCGCCGGCGCGUCGUUCUGGGUYCGUGCGCGCUCCGCGCGUGUACGGGCUCGGUCGCGUGUCGCGCGCGGUUUUUACUGUCGGCGUACAAACAAUUCUUCUUAGAGGGACAGGCGGCUUCUAGCCGCACGAGAUUGAGCAAUAACAGGUCUGUGAUGCCCUUAGAUGUUCUGGGCCGCACGCGCGCUACACUGAAGGAAUCAGCGUGUCCUCCCUGGCCGAGCGGCCCGGGUAACCCGCNUGAACCUCCUUCGUGCUAGGGAUUGGGGCUUGCAAUUGUUCCCCAUGAACNGAGGAAUNUCCCAGUAAGNCGCGAGUCAUAAGCUCGCGUUGAUUACGUCCCUGCCCUUUGUACACACCGCCCGUCGCUACUACCGAUUGAAUGAUUUAGUGAGGUCUUCGGAUCGACACGCGAUGGNNCGUUUCGGCGUCGUCGAUGUNGUAAGAGAAGAUGACCAAACUUGAUCAUUUAGAGGAAGUAAAAGUCGUAACAAGGUUUCCGU